rnacentral:siRNA from 1 species
AGCAUUCUGGAAAACCCACUC